rnacentral:rRNA from 1 species
GAUGAACGCUAGCUACAGGCGUAACACAUGCAAGUCGAGGGGUCAGCAUGGUCUUAGCUUGCUAAGGCCGAUGGGCGACCGGCGCACGGGUGAGUAACACGUAUCCAAACCUGGCCGUCUACUCUUGGACAGCCUUCUGAAAGGAAGAUUAAUACAAGAUGGCAUCAUGAGUCCGACAUGUUCACAUGAUUAAAGGUAUUCCGGUAGACCGAUGGGGAUGCGUUCCAGUUAGAUAGUAGGCGGGGUAACGGCCCACCUAGUCUUCGAUGGAUAGGGGUUCUGAGA